CGUGUAGGCGGUCAGGUAAGUGGAAUGUGAAAUGCCCCGGCUCACCCAGGGACCGGCAUCCCAAACUGCCUGGCUUGAGUAUGGGAGAGGAUGGAGGAAUUCCUGGUGUAGCGGUGAAAUGCGUAGAUAUCAGGAGGAACACCGGUGGCGAAGGCGUCCAUCUGGCCCAAUACUGACGCUGAGGCGCGAAAGCUAGGGGAGCAAACG
rnacentral:rRNA from 1 species